rnacentral:rRNA from 1 species
UACAGAGGUCUCAAGCGUUGUUCGGAUUCAUUGGGCGUAAAGGGUGUGUAGGUGGCGCGCUAAGUCGGGGUGUGAAAUUUCGGAGCUUAACUCCGAAACUGCAUUCGAUACUGGCGUGCUUGAGGACUGGAGAGGAGACUGGAAUUUACGGUGUAGCGGUGAAAUGCGUAGAUAUCGUAAGGAAGACCAGUGGCGAAGGCGGGUCUCUGGACAGUUCCUGACGCUGAGGCACGAAGGUCAGGGGAGCAAACGGG